rnacentral:rRNA from 1 species
GUGGGAACGUGCCCUUCUCUGCGGAAUAGCCACUGGAAACGGUGAGUAAUACCGCAUACGCCUUCGGGGGAAAGAUUUAUCGGAGAAGGAUCGGCCCGCGUUAGAUUAGAUAGUUGGUGGGUAACGGCCGUACCAAGUCUACGAUCUAUAGCUGGUUUUAGAGGAUGAUCAGCAACACUGGGACUGAGACACGGCCCAGACUCCUACGGGAGGCAGCAGUGGGGAAUCUUAGACAAUGGGCGCAAGCCUGAUCUAGCCAUGCCGCGUGUGUGAUGAAGGUCUUAGGAUCGUAAAGCACUUUCGCCAGGGAUGAUAAUGACAGUACCUGGUAAAGAAACCCCGGCUAACUCCGUG